rnacentral:rRNA from 1 species
GAUGAACGCUAGCGGCAGGCCUAACACAUGCAAGUCGAGGGAGAAGCCCUUUCGGGGGCAGAAACCGGCGCACGGGUGCGUAACGCGUAUGCAACCUACCUUUCACAGGGGGAUAGCCCGAAGAAAUUUGGAUUAAUACCCCAUAAUAUUAUUGGAUGGCAUCAUUUGAUAAUUAAAACUGCGGUGGUGAAAGAUGGGCAUGCGUCCUAUUAGCUAGUUGGAGUGGUAACGGCACCCCAAGGCUACGAUAGGUAGGGGUCCUGAGAGGGGGAUCCCCCACACUGGUACUGAGACAGGGACCAGACUCCUACGGGAGGCAGCAGUGAGGAAUAUUGGUCAAUGGUCGGAAGACUGAACCAGCCAUGCCGCGUGCAGGAAGAAUGCCUUAUGGGUUGUAAACUGCUUUUAUAUGGGAAGAAUAAGGCGUACGUGUACGUUGAUGACGGUACCAUAUGAAUAAGCAUCGGCUAACUCCGUG